rnacentral:rRNA from 1 species
ACACGUGGGUGACCUACCUUCGAAUGGGGGAUAACGUCCCGAAAGGGACGCUAAUACCGCAUAACAUCCUGUCUUUGAAGAGAUGGAGAUCAAAGCCGGGGAUCGUAAGACCUGGCGUUUGAAGAGGGGCCCGCGUCCGAUUAGCUAGUUGGUGAGGUAACGGCUCACCAAGGCGACGAUCGGUAGCCAGCCUGAGAGGGCGGACGGCCACACUGGGACUGAGACACGGCCCAGACUCCUACGGGAGGCAGCAGUGGGGAAUUGUUCGCAAUGGGCGCAAGCCUGACGACGCAACGCCGCGUGGAGGAUGAAGGUCUUCGGAUUGUAAACUCCUGUUGCCCGGGACGAAACGCCUCGACCUAACACGUUGAGGUUUGACGGUACCGGGUGAGGAAGCCCCGGCUAACUCUGUGCCAGCAGCCGCGGUAAUACAGAGGGGGCAAGCGUUGUUCGGAAUUACUGGGCGUAAAGGGCGCGUAGGUGGCCUUCUAAGUCGAACGUGAAAUCCCCGGGCUCAACCC